rnacentral:rRNA from 1 species
GGCAAGGGUUCCUUGGCAAUGUUCGUCAGCCAAGGGUUAGUCGAUCCUAAGGCAAUUCUUAAUUGAAAUUGUCGAAAGGGAAACUGGUUAAUAUUCCAGUACUGUAAAUUCCUUUGUCCGUAUCCCGACAGAUAGGGAUAGUUGGAGUACAACAGCCAUUGUAUUGAAGCAUCGAAGUCUCCGGAGAACCGUCAUGGUGAGAAAGAGAUGAACUUGUGAUCAGGCGAGCGUAGGCUCGCUUCCGAUGAUUCCCCGUUUCCGUGAAAAAGGAUACGGAGUCAGCUUUUACAAUCGUACCAAGAACCGACACAGGUGUCCCUAGGUGAGUAGCCUAAGGCGUGUUAGCAUAAUCUAGGCGAGGGAACUCGGCAAAUUAGCCCUGUAACUUCGGGAUAAAGGGUGCCAGUAGUGUGAGCUACUGGUCGCAGUGGCAAGAGAACUCCGACUGUUUAAUAAAAACAUAGGUCCCUGCUAGUUCGAAAGGAUGUGUAUAGGGGCCGAAGCCUGCCCAGUGUUGGCAUCUGAAAAUCUGUUUCAACGGAUCGAAGGACCAAUAAACGGCGGGGGUAACUAUGACCCUCUUAAGGUAGCGUAAUACCUUGUCGCUUAAUUGGCGACUUGCAUGAAGGCUCAACGAGAGUUCUACUGUCCCCGCCUAGACGCUAGUGAAAUCAAUCAGUCUGGUGCACAAUCCAGACCCCUCCAUCUGAAAGCGAAGACCCCAUGGAGUUUCACUGCAACCUGUUGUUGUUGUAAGAAUUGGCACGUGUAGGGUAGGCGGGAGACGUUACCCAGGAAGGUGCGCUAGCAUCUCUCCGAGUCUACGAUGAAACACCGCCCCUGCUGAUUUUUACGACUCACCUCUUAGGAGGAACAGCUAUAGGCAGGCAGUUCGGGUGGGGCGCCACGCCCUCAAAAAGAUAACAAGGGCGCCCAAUGGUUAGCUCAGGUAGGUCAGAAAUCUACCGAAGAAUGUAAAGGUAAAAGCUAGCUUGACUCGGAACCAGACAAUAGGGUUCGGAGAUAGGAAACUAUGGCUUAGCGAACCAAUCAACCUCCUGAAUGGGGGUGAUUGAUGUCAGAAAAAUUACCCUGGGGAUAAUUGAGUUGUCACGAGCAAGAGUUCAUAUCGACCUCGUGGCUUGCUACUUCGCUGUCGGCUCUCCCUAUCCUGGUGGUGCAGCAGCUGCCAAGGGUGGGGUUGUUCGCCCAUUAAAAGGGAUCGUGAGCUGGGUUUAAAACGUCGUGAGACAGUUUUGUUGCUUUUUGAUGGAGGUGUUGGUGCCUGACGAGAAGGACCCUUUAGUACGAGAGGAACAGGGGUUCGCCGCCUCUAGUUUAUCAGUUGUCUGGCAAGGCAUUGCUGAGCAGCCACGCGGUAGUGGAUAAGAGCUGAAUGCAUCUAAGCUCGAAGUCAUCUUGAAAAAGAGGCACCCAUAGAACGCUCAUAAAUGAUGAGUUUGAUGGAAGUGGGGUGUAAGUACCGAGGUUCGCCGAGGUAUUCAGCCCGCACCGACCAAAGUUCUUUUGACGUC